rnacentral:lncRNA from 1 species
ACGCACCGCCCGGCGGCAAAUUCCAACGUCGGGCGGUCCAGGGCGAGGAGUAGGCACCUGGCGUUGGCGCUGGCGGAUUUGCGGUUAGAGGGAAACCGCUAGGCGGUAGACCACUACCGCCGGGCGGUAGUGCGAUUUGUGGGAAACCGUCGGGCGCCUCACUUGUUCCGCCGGGCGGUUGUCUCCCGGGCUUGGGCCUGUUUUUUAUUGUGCUCCUCACCUAUAAAUAGCCCUAUUGCGAGUUUAAAUGCAUUCUUUUGACAGAAAGGGGCGGCCAGACCUAACUUCACUCUCUGGAGAGGAUCUCUUGGAGGCUUAGGCUCCUUUUCAUCUUUUCUAGGGUUUGCUUUUCCAUUCUUCAUCCAUUUUUCAUCUAGAUUCACCAUGUCAAUGGUGAACUAAACCCUAUUGUUGUUGAGGGAAACAGUGUAAUCUUUUGAUACUCUCUUUUAUUGAAACUCUUGAUUAUUUAUAUGGUUUCCAUAUGUUUUGAUUGUUAAUUGUUGAGUUCUCAUUUGUGCUUAAUGCCUUUAUCGUUUAACUCAUUCGAUAACUGUUUUUUGUCUUUAUUGAUACAGGGAUGUACAGUAAUGUCAUAAACUGAUGAGUAAUUCCUUGAUUAAGGAAUACCACCUAGGGAUAAGGGUAGGACGAUCAAUUGUUUUUGUCUUCUGUUCUAUAAUGCUUUAUUAAUUGCUAGGGGAGGCUAGGGAUAACAAGCCAGUAAUUAGUAAUAGGCUCUUUUCACCGAGGGAUCGGGUUAAGGGUAGGCUAAGAAAGUUGCAUGACAAUUAAUUAAUCAAGCUAAUAAAUCAAGAGGAGUAAAUAAGAGGGAGCGGAUAAGAUGAAAUUGUAAACCCCAACAACUCCAUUCAUCCAUUGUUUUCUUCUUGUCAAUUGAAUCAAUCUCUUUUGCAUGUUUAUAUUUUAUUCACACAUCCAAUUAAUUAUUUUUUAUUUUCAAGUCUUACGAUUUUAAUUCACGCGAACGAUAAGGCCUUUCGAGUCUCUUGGGAAAACGAUACUUGGACUUACCAUUUAUUAUUACUUGAUACGAUUUGGUACGCUUGCCAAUCCGUUAACAACUUGCCAUAAUAAAUGGUUCAUUAGUGAAACUCAUUUUUUUAAGAUCUACCA